AUGGUUAGCAGUGACUCAAUUGUUUGGGCUGUCUCCUCUGCUUUUUCCAGGCCAUUGCAGAGAUCUGGAUGGAAAGUGGAGCAGCUGGGUCACAAACCACCGCCCAUGUGGGAUGCUGGCAUUGCAGGCAGCAGCUUUACCUGCUAUGCGAUAAUGCGGCCCUGCAAAAUCUUCUUGAAGAAUACAAGUCCAAUUCAGGAUGAAAAAUUUCUGCUCCUUGGAUAAGGAAAUGAAUGCAUUGACUUGUAGGUGUCAGGUUGGUCUCAUACAAUUUUUUCUACACCAAUAUUUUCUAAUUUUUCUCUGUUAAUGCCACAUUUGGAUAUACCACAAUGUAAAUUACCAGAUAAAAACUUAAAUGAGAAGAAAUGUUGAGCCCUUGCUAUUAUGCCUACAUUGUUCAUGAGUCCAAUUGUCAUAAACUGAAACAAGUGAACAAACACUGACAUUAACAGUAUGCAUAAUAUGGUUGGACAACCUAACCAGGAGUCUCUUCAGAAGAGGAAACCAUUUGAUGAUCAUUUCCAUGGAAACCAAAUCUUCCUUUUGAACCAUUUCAUGAGUUCGAUUUAUGUAAUUGCUCCCCAAAUCUCUUUUUUUUUAUUUUGUUUAACUUUUAUUUAAUGAAUAUAAAUUUCCAAAGUACAGCUUAUGGAUUACAAUGGCUUCCCCCCCAUAACGUCCCUCCCACCCGCAACCCCUCCCCCUUAUCCACUCCCUCUCCCCUUCCAUUCACAUCAAGAUUCAUUUUCGAUUCUCUUUAUAUACAGAAGAUCAGUUUAGCAUACAUUAAGUAAAGAUUUCAACAGUUUGCUCCCACACAGAAACAUAAAGUGAAAAAUACUGUUUGAGUACUAGUUAUAGCAUUAAAUCUCAAUGUACAGCACACUAAGGACAAAGAUCCUACAUGAGGAGUAAGUGCACAGUGACUCCUGUUGUUGAAAUCUCUUUAUCACCACUCUCAAAUAAACUUCUCUGUGAGUAUCUGUCUGUGUGGCCU
rnacentral:lncRNA from 1 species